CGCGCAGGCGGCAUGUCAAGUCAGGUGUGAAAUCCCUCGGCUCAACCGAGGAACUGCGCUUGAAACUGGCAAGCUAGAGUACGGGAGAGGGAAGCGGAAUUCCGAGUGUAGAGGUGAAAUUCGUAGAUACUCGGAGGAACACCGGCGGCGAAGGCGGCUUCCUGGACCGAUACUGACGCUGAGGCGCGAAAGCGUGGGGAGCAAACAGGAUUAGAUACCCUGGUAGUCC
rnacentral:rRNA from 1 species